rnacentral:lncRNA from 1 species
GCCAAAUAUUAAUAUUCUUCCUCCCAUUCAUCUACACUAUCGACUGGGUUUAAAGUGCAACAUACAAGAAUGUACCCAAAACUCAUGCUAUCCAAAAAUAACAAGAUGUUACUGUUUUUUUAGAUAGGGGAACAAAGUUCUAGCCUCUACCAUCCCGAAAUGGUACACGUACAACUGAUAGUCAUGAUACAAACCAAUGCUAUAUGGCUAACACACUCACGAGAAAACAUAAAGAAGAUUCAGCUCAACUAGU